UACGUAGGGGGCGAGCGUUGUCCGGAUUUAUUGGGCGUAAAGCGCGCGUAGGCGGCUGCGCAAGUCGGUUGUGAAACCCCGGGGCUCAACCCCGGAACUGCAUCCGAUACUGCGUGGCUAGAGGUAGGUAGGGGAGAUCGGAAUUCCUGGUGUAGAGGUGAAAUGCGCAGAUAUCAGGAGGAACACCAGUGGCGAAGGCAGCGCGCUGGGACGUGACUGACGCUGAGACGCGAAAGCGUGGGGAGCAAACAGG
rnacentral:rRNA from 1 species